rnacentral:lncRNA from 1 species
UAAAUAAGUUAUAGUGAUUUUGAAAUAUCUUUUACUGUUCUCGUAUUACAUUCUUGGUUAAUGAAUUUUAAUUUAUGAACUGCUUAGAUGAAUUUUCUGACAAUUGUUUUUAUGAUUAAAAUAAUGGAUCUUUGUAUAGAACAAUUGGCAAGGCUCGACCUCGAAUGAGAAUAUGUACGGUAUGCAACUUUCGAGCAACUUCUAUGUGACCCAUUAUUAGAUCCUUUGAAAUAAGAUACUCAAUUUGUUAGUAAAUAAGUAUGUAGUGGUGCAAUUUUGGUUUUUGUAGGAUACAUGGAGUUAGGGGGAGCAAAGUCUACUGGUAUUCCAUUAAGUUAUUAACUUUGAGCUUAUUCACGGGCCAUUUUUCAUCUUCAUCAUAUUUUGUAAAAACAUGUAGAUUAUUUUCAGUAUUUCUAUGUUGGGGCUAGCAUUCUGAUUUCGUACCUUCAGAGUUUUCUUGAAAUCUUGUUUCUUUUUAUUUUUGGAGGAGUAGCAAUCUUGCAUCAGCUCUAUCAUUAUUAUCAUUACGUAAGUUAGUAGUUUAAGGAUAUAAGAUAUUAAUUUUGAUGCCUAUGUCAUGCUCUGCACAAAUCUUGGUAGGAUAAACUCGUUAUCAUCAUCUCUAUGUUGUUUUCAUAUUUAUGUAUUCCUUUAUUUUUGGUUUUUUUGGCAGGAAGUUGCUAAUUGGAGUGCAUACUAUUUCUAUUGCAGGUUACUUAACCUUAACAAGAGCAAACAGAAUAGCGAGUUGAUUUAGGCGUCGAUAUUUUCCUAAGAAGUCUUGCACAAGCCGUGAAGGUUCGCUGCAUUGCAGUUGCUUCCUUAUGGAGUUCAUAUUACUUUUACUUGUUAGAUGUGUUUUGUGUGUAGUGCGUUAAAUAUCUUCGAAGACUCUAGAUCAAGGAAUAACAUUCGGAUGAUUAAUCAUGAUUAUGUAUUCAUGUAGCUAUUGUUUGAUCUUUUAUAAUUUAUUUAUAUGGAGUUGG